rnacentral:tRNA from 1 species
GCCCGGAUGGUGGAACGCAGACACGGCGAGCUUAAACCUCGCUGGCCUACGACGGCCGUGCGGGUUCGAGUCCCGCUCCGGGCACCA